rnacentral:tRNA from 1 species
ACCUAGGUAGCUUAAAAAGAGCGUUACAUUGAAGUUGUAAGUGUGGUAUUUUACCCCUGAGUG